GGAGAAACCUUUCAGGUGUCUU
rnacentral:miRNA from 1 species